UUCUGGCCGCAUACGUCUACC
rnacentral:piRNA from 1 species